GACGGUGUGCAGGGCCCUGUGGCUUGACAAAGGGAUCUUUCAGCAGGAAGCGGAGGCGUAGGAGCGGCCAGAGGCCAGCGUGCAGGACAGAGGCCACAGGAGAGGAGAAAAAGCCCCGACGCCAGAAAUGGAGGAGGGAGGAGGACCUCGGAGGGGAGGAGGAGGGUGCGCAGAACCAGGAGAGGCAGUUUGGGGAGCAACCGCUGCGGAGCGCGCAGGACCCAGAGGACUCAAAGGGGACCUGGAGGGUGACGAGGCCUUCCGUGGCCGGGGGUGAGGAGGAGGGAAGCCGCGCGGGCGGAGAGGCGCUGGUGGGUCCCAGGUUGGAGGCUGUGGGUCUGAGAGGCGAAGCCCAGGGGAGCCCGGGGCCACCGCUGAAAAGGAUGGCAGCUGAGCGCAGGCGAGGGAGAGGCGCGCGUGUCCGGGACAGACCGCGGUGGGAGCUCGACUCCGGAAACCGGCGGGCCUGGGGCUGGGACCUACAGGGAGGCGGACGCGGCACAGCCAGG
rnacentral:lncRNA from 1 species